AUUGAACGCUAGCGGCAUGCCUUACACAUGCAAGUCGAACGGCAGCGGGGGGGCUUGCUCCCGCCGGCGAGUGGCGAACGGGUGAGUAAUACAUCGGAACGUACCCAGUAGCGGGGGAUAGCCCGGCGUAAGCCGGAUUAAUACCGCAUACGCCCUACGGGGGAAAGGGGGGGAUCGCAAGACCUCUCACUAUUGGAGCGGCCGAUGGCUGAUUAGCUAGUUGGUGGGGUAAAGGCCUACCAAGGCGACGAUCAGUAGCUGGUCUGAGAGGACGACCAGCCACACUGGGACUGAGACACGGCCCAGACUCCUACGGGAGGCAGCAGUGGGGAAUUUUGGACAAUGGGCGAAAGCCUGAUCCAGCAAUGCCGCGUGUGCGAAGAAGGCCUUCGGGUUGUAAAGCACUUUUGUCAGGGAAGAAAUCGUUUGGGUUAAUACCCCGAGCAGUUGACGGUACCUGAAGAAUAAGCACCGGCUAACUACGUGCCAGCCGCCGCGGUAA
rnacentral:rRNA from 1 species